UACUUCAUACCCUCUUCUAAAUAAAAGCCAAUUAGGUUAUAUAUCGGUUUUUCAUAAACUAAAGUUAAUUUGGUUAAUGCCUAUCUAAAUAAUUCUUCCAAUUAAAAGCCACUUAGAGUUAUACCUCGGCGUUUCAUAAAUUAAAUUCAAUUUGAUUAAUGUUUAUUCAAUUUGUUUUCUAAAUAAAAUCUGUAUAGGUUAUAUCUCGAGUUUUCAUAAUUAAAUAUUAAUUUGGCUAAUAUAAAUAUGAAUGUGUUUUUAAUUUAAUCUACUUAGUUGAACUCGAGAUGUAAAGCUAUACGCUUAGAUGUCUACAUGUAUCUUAUUUUUAAAUUAAAUGUUUAAUUUGCAUAAAUUGUACUCAAAUAUUUAUAAAUAAAAUUGGACUAAGCUUUACACCGUCUUUUCUUAUAAAAAUAUAAAUAUGACUUGAUUAAUUCUAACUAAGGAUAUUUCUCUGAAAUAUCUUUACAUUGCUUUUCUCAACUAAAAUAAAUAAAGCUUGUAGCUCUUAUCUUUCUUUUAUAAUUCAAAACUCUCGAUAGCUUUAUCUUUUCAACCAUAGUUUCGUUUUAAGCGUUCCAUACGUUCGCGUGACCUUAGAUCGAGCCUUGUCGUUAGUACGCUCUUUUAAAGCUUUCCUUUUGUUUUGGUGUACUGCUCUUAGUUGUAUUUGUUUGCUUGCUUGUAUGACCGUGCCGGUGAUUGCUUCGAGUAGAAGGAUCGCUGUUCGAAAGCUUUGAAGAUUAAGAGUUUCAAGAGAGCAAGAGCCAAAGAGCAGUAAGAAGUAACUUGUCGCUGGAGAAAGGCAAGUGUGUCCUUGUGCUUUUGUCCCAAUAACUUUAUUUAAUCACUAUUGCAUAUGCUUGCAUUAAAUUUGAUGGGUCCUAUUAAGGUUUGCCUAGUUUUUAUGAUUAUUCCUUGCCAACCUGGGUUUACCUUUCUGUUGGGUAGCUAUGCUUAGCUGCUAUACUUGGGUUAUGGUGGUUCUAAUGAACAAAGAUGAUGAACCUAUUUUAUUUAUGCUACACCUUCCUUUAAUACAAGAUCACUGUGAUUAAUUGGAACAUGGAGAACCACCCAGGAAAACAGUGCUACCACAAGACUAAAUGGCCCUGGUCUUGGUUGAAUAAUUAGAAACUCUAGUUUGGGGUAACCUUACCGAAAGGGCAAGAGGGGAGGCGUUGAUGGGAUAUAGCACUCGCUCUCUUGGGAAGUGGGCUUGGCUAAGACACUAUACCCUCUAGGGGACUGCUAUGUUUCGCUUCGACCUGAAACCUUAGCGGGUUACCACAUUGCUAGCGAAUCUUUGUAAAGGCCUCGUAGCGUCCCUAUGCAAUCACACCUCGGAAGUGUGGUAUUGUGCCUGAUCAGCACAAGCGUGGUUGGGUCUAAAGUUCUUUUGAGCUUUUACGCGACUUGUGGGUAAAGAUGUGCGACCUCUGCAGAGUGUAAAACUGAUCGAUCAGCCGUGCUCACGGUUAAGAGCGGCCUGGACCCUCACAUGAGUAAUAUACUUGAAGAUGGAUUUAAAUUGUGGUUUAUGCUAUGGUUAUGGUUGUGCCAUAUGCUUAUGGCUUAUAUUUAUGUUUAUAUUAAUUGUGGGUUGGUAUAUACUUAUACCUUAGUAAUCAGGUGCUAAUAAAAUUUGACCAACUAAAAAUGCUUAAUGCAGUCAACCAGUCAGCCUUUCCUUGUUUAACCCUUGCAUUCAUAUUCUCCUCACACUUGCUGAGUACGACAAGUGCUCACCCUUGCUAUAAACAACGUUGCUCAGAAGAAGAAGCUGCUAUGAAGUUGAGAAGAUGCUGAGUUCUAGGCGUACGCAACCCCCAGUCGAUUGCCUGUGAAGUUUGGAGCCUCCGUUUCCAGUGUUUAAGCUGUGUAUCUCUGAUGGUUUGUAAGUCUUUAUUUGUAUCUUUUCACGUGAUACUGUUGCUGUUAUUCACUAUAUGUAUGAAAUUUGAUCCUGGCAUACAUAUAGGUAGCAUUCGGUUUUGCCUUUAAAACCGGGUGUGACAGAAGUGGUAUCAGAGCCGUAUCGACUGUAGGACGUAAGCCUAGAUAGCAAUGGUCACUUCCUAAGGUCUAUUUUACUAUAUAAACAAUUCCUGCCUUAUCCUUGACCUUUCUGAAAAAUAUUCUCACUCCUUGAUCAUUUUCUUUUCUCAAUCCUCCUUGAUAACUUGAGCUCUUUUCAUUUGCACUUCUUGUCUUGCAAAUGUUAGACCCUCAAUCCUUGUCUAUUUAUUUCCUCUCUCCUUGAUCACUGCUUGAUCUUGAUCAUGCAUCUCCUUCUUGAUGAAUGAUCUUACCUGUUUGAUGCAAUACACCUCCUUGAUUUCUUAGUGAUGUUGCUACUCUCUAAUCCCCUGUUCAUUUAUCUCCUUAAUAUUUUCCUUACUUACUUAUCCUUGUAAACCUAUCUCUUCCUUAACUUUAUUUUUAGUAUAUCCAUCUUCCCCAUUGUACCUCUCGUUGCUUUUCAAAUAAAUGCUACCUUGGAAUCUUUUCCUUGACUUUUUCCAAAAUGUCUCGUUUUAUUCAAAAAUAUCUAGAUGAUCCAUGCCACCUGUCUUAAAGCCUGUUCAAGACAUCUGAAGAAUGGAGUUACCAGUUCACCACUAGAAGUCAAGCCUGAGCAAUUGAAACAUGCACCAAACAUCUGGAGUCAAUGCUGGGCAAGCUGAAGGAUGCCUACAUCAAGUACGUUGAAGUCUUACCAAACAACCCCUGCUUAGGAGUACCCCUUGUAGCCUUAUUAACAACGUUUAGCCUCGUUUCUUGACUCUGUGUUGACUGGUGGAAUUCUGUGUUUGCAUGAUGAUGCUUGUCUUUAUGAAAUUGUCUGAUUUGUUUCUUUGUAAUGAUUGUUGGUGUAUUGUGGGUCUUCUAUCUACAAUGACAUCAGUUGCCUAGCUAGGUUCUUCUUUUGAAUCUCCCAUAUCCUUGUCGUCCAUUCCCUUCUACCCGAGCCAAUGAAGGACAUCAGAAAAGAGGGAACUAAAGUCAACACCGACAUCAACAAGCAGGAGUUAACAUCACCACCACUGUCUCGCUAGAAGCAAGUUGAAGAAUAGAAGGCUUUACUCUGAUCUCCAUCUUACUCUAAUGAUGAUUAGAAGAACCAAAGAAGAUGAAGAAAGCAGGGAGAUUCUACUCUCGAUAAGCAAAGAUGGAAGACUAUCCACUCUACCAUAAGGAACUUGUUGUCUCCCACCUCUUUGUUUUCUUUCUCUCUUCGAAUCUGCUUGUACCUCCCACAUCCUUGUUGUUUUUCUUUCUAUCUCCCAAUUCUGAUGGACAUCACGAAGAGAGUGAAGGCAACACCAAUGCCAACAAGCGGAGGCUAUCGCCACCAUCACCGUCGAAAUAGAAGCAAGCCGAAGAAAAGAAGGCCCUAGCCUAGAUUUCUUGCCACCUCGCUACUUUCUAUCCUUCCUUCUACCUUACUCGGAUGAUGACCCAAGAAAAGACGAUGAUAUCAUGAAGUGCUCUACCUUGUUCUGCAAUUUUAUCCAUUUCCUAUUUUCUUCUGACCCUAUCUUUAUCACCCAACCAAAUAGCGAGUCCCAAUGAAAAUCAUGAAGAUAGAGCCAAUGAAGGAGAUCUUAACAUUCCACCUGUAUCCGCAUUAUUUGAAUGCAAGGUGUUAGAGUAUAUGGCAACACAAAGUCGGACUUUACAAGCAAUGGCUCAAACCAUGGUCAGUAUCCAUCAGUAUAUCACAGAGCACGUCUCACUCCCUCGAAACCACAACCAUUGGCAGAUAACAGUACUCAGCCUAGUUCCCACCAACUAUAGCCUAAAGUUGUUCACCAUCCACGUGGCAACCCCAUCAAGAAGAGUCCCAAUGCGCAAGCUAUUCCACCGAUAGCUACCAUGGAGCAGAAAGGAAGACAAGAAGGAUGUAAUAAAAGAUUGUGCUUCAGAUGCGGUGAAGAAGGCCAUUAUACCAAUAACUAUCCAAUAAAGUGUAAGUGGACCAGGUCCGUUGGAGCCAAAAUAUAUUGCCUCUAUUGUGGAGAAAAUAGACAUCUUGACUAGUCGGUAUGCAAAAGAGAAGGAUGAUCAACCCCAGGACCAAGGACCCAAAAGCCCUGCCUUCAACCCGACAACAUCAGUUGGCCUCUUUGUCAGGACGAAUGAUCAAGACGCCUCAGUCAGGAAAGAAUGCCAUCAGUUACCAAAGCCCAACUCUCAUACCACAUCCAGUCUCCAAGAUACCAAAGCAAGAAAAACAUGUUUCUACUGCAAGGAAGAGGGACAUUUCAUUAGUUAAUGCUCCGAGAAGCGUUUGGACCAGAUGGAUAAGAAGACUCAAGGAUGUGUAUGAAGACUUGAAGGGUGACAGUCGAGCCAGAGGGAAGUAAUUCAGCUCUAUUCAAAUCACUUUACCAAGAAAUGAAGAAAAUUCUUCGAAGAUGGGCCAAAGAAGCAGAGUGAAGGAAAGGAUAUUUAAAAGAGGAAUUAGACUAAGUAUCCCUGAAGUGUUUUAUGUGAUGUAGUGAAGCAUAAAGAAGCAUGAUUGAGAAGCUUACGUAAGGAUGAACGAUCUAGGAAGAAGCUAAUAAGUGUUGGAUGCUACCCACCUAAACCUUUGUCUCUUGCUAGCCUUUGCGAAUCUCGGGACGAGAUUCUUGUUAGGGGGGUAGUGUUGUCACACCCUGAAAUUUCCGAAUUUCAGGAUGUGAAUAAAAAGAAUAAAUAAACAAUAAUUUUCUCAUAAUUUUAAAAUUUUCCCAACAUUUAUUUUUCUUUACAGGAAAUUUAGUAUAGGAAAAAUAAUUGUUUGCUUUUAUAAAUUAAAUAAUGUUGUUCUAUGUCUGUGCAUUCAUGUCACUGCAUCUUGGCGUUUCUUGAGUGCAAAAGUUUGAAAAAUGCGUUUAGACGUUGUCCAGACCCUUGUGAGAAUUUUCCAUCUUUUUCCGGAAAUUAUUCUCCUUUUUCCUAGAGCUAAAUCUAAUUUUUAGAAGGCUCUAGAAUCCUUUUCAUGAGCUCCAAGUAUUUUAUUUGGAUUCUUUGUGUCCCAAUCCAUCUCUGAGAUUUAUCUCAGAUUUUUCGGAAUUUUCUAGGUAUUUUUCUCGCUUUAGAAAACGAGUCCAGCUAUUUCUGGAAUUGUUUUCGCGGAGAUAAAUAAAAUCAGAAAUUCCGAAAAUAAAAAGUCAACUCGAAAAUAUCUUUUUCCGAGUGUGGCCUAUAUAUAUAUCACCGCGUUCGUCUCGACGCGAGGAUUUCAGAUCUACAAACCUUUUCGCGAGUUACCUCUCCUAACUCCGUAGAUCUGAAGUCAAAGUUCGGUCUUCGUCAAACUCCGGCGAGCUUUUCCGGCGAAACCGUGGACUUCCGGCAAAAACCGACACCACCAUGGAGUUCCUCUCUUCGAGCUCUACGCCGUGGUGUGGUGGAUUGCAUGAAUCCGAUGUCGGCUCCGUCGUCUUCCCCAACGCCGGCGAGCUUUUCCGCCACCAUUGUUCAUCUCUUGCCGAAGGUGAGCACACCAUCUUGUUCGCCUCGUCGAUAUCGUUCCAUUUUACCGUUCAUGCGCGAGAUCGGACUUCGUUUCCGCCUACCCCUCCUUCUCUCUCUCCCUCCCUCCUGUUUCUUUUCUUUCUGUACGCAACUGAAACCAUCGGUGCCGGUCCGUUCGUCCUGCUCGCCCGGCCAUCUUCCGCUCGCUUGUGCUGUCGCCGCGCGCACUGCCUCCCUGCGCAUUGCGCCGCACCACCGCCACCGGCUCACGCGCCGGCCGUCGCCCCUGCGCCGCCGCCUGUGCGCCGCCGGAGCCGCCGGCCGAGCCUCCCUGCUGGUGCCUUCACCCGCCGCCCGCGCUCCUGGCCUAGCCCCGGCCCCGGCCGCCGUCGCCGGCCAGCGCCGCCGGAAAGCCCAGGAGGGCCGGUCGGGCAGUUCAACCGUGAGGUUGAAGAUGAGUUGGUGAUUUUGCUAUUAGGCCCCUGAGGAAAACUCAAAUUUUCAGCUUAUUUCUUGUGUCUUGGCAACUUUACAGAAAACCCCUCGAUCCUUCCGGUCCCAUUCAAUUUAAACCGAGCCUCAAAUCUUUUGGAUCUAACCCUGUUAUUUCUAUUAUUUGCGAGCACUAUUCAUGGUGUCUUGCAAAUUUUCCUUGCUAACCCCUGAGGUCUACGGUUAAUUAUGUUUAGGCUCCUACAACCUUGUUUAACCCACAGAAUCUACGUUUUAAUUUCGUUUUCGUCCGUUCAAGUUGCGUUAGAUUCCUAAUGAUGUAAAUUAUACGUUAGUGGUAAUGUUUUCCUUCACACAUAUUUUUGAAAAUAAAAUUUAUAUUAAAAUUGAUUAAUGCUGUCAAACGAGUUCUUUUCUAAUAAAAUCUAUUUAGUGUUAAACAUCGUUUUUCAUAAUAAUUAUUAAUUUGAUUAAUGCCUACUUCAUACCCUCUUCUAAAUAAAAGCCAAUUAGGUUAUAUAUCGGUUUUUCAUAAACUAAAGUUAAUUUGGUUAAUGCCUAUCUAAAUAAUUCUUCCAAUUAAAAGCCACUUAGAGUUAUACCUCGGCGUUUCAUAAAUUAAAUUCAAUUUGAUUAAUGUUUAUUCAAUUUGUUUUCUAAAUAAAAUCUAUAUAGGUUAUAUCUCGAGUUUUCAUAAUUAAAUAUUAAUUUGGCUAAUAUAAAUAUGAAUGUGUUUUUAAUUUAAUCUACUUAGUUGAACUCGAGAUGUAAAGCUAUACGCUUAGAUGUCUACAUGUAUCUUAUUUUUAAAUUAAAUGUUUAAUUUGCAUAAAUUGUACUCAAAUAUUUAUAAAUAAAAUUGGACUAAGCUUUACACCGUCUUUUCUUAUGAAAAUAUAAAUAUGACUUGAUUAAUUCUAACUAAGGAUAUUUCUCUGAAAUAUCUUUACAUUGCUUUUCUCAACCAAAAUAAAUAAAGCUUGUAGCUCUUAUCUUUCUUUUAUAAUUCAAAACUCUCGAUAGCUUUAUCUUUUCAACCAUAGUUCCGUUUUAAGCGUUCCUUACGUUCGCGUGACCUUAGAUCGAGCCUUGUCGUUAGUACGCUCUCUUAAAGCUUUCCUUUUGUUUUGGUGUACUGCUCUUAGUUGUAUUUGUUUGCUUGCUUGUAUGACCGUGCCGGUGAUUGCUUCGAGUAGAAGGAUCACUGUUCGAAAGCUUUGAAGAUUAAGAGUUUCAAGAGAGCAAGAGCCAAAGAGCAGUAAGAAGUAACUUGUCGCUGGAGAAAGGCAAGUGUGUCCUUGUGCUUUUGUCCCAAUAACUUUAUUUAAUCACUAUUGCAUAUGCUUGCAUUAAAUUUGAUGGGUCCUAUUAAGGUUUGCCUAGUUUUUAUGAUUAUUCCUUGCCAACCUGGGUUUACCUUUCUGUUGGGUAGCUAUGCUUAGCUGCUAUACUUGGGUUAUGGUGGUUCUAAUGAACAAAGAUGAUGAACCUAUUUUAUUUAUGCUACACCUUCCUUUAAUACAAGAUCACUGUGAUUAAUUGGAACAUGGAGAACCACCCAGGAAAACAGUGCUACCACAAGACUAAAUGGCUCUGGUCUUGGCUGAAUAAUUAGAAACUCUAGUUUGGGGUAACCUUACCGAAAGGGCAAGAGGGGAGGCGUUGAUGGGAUAUAGCACUCGCUCUCUUGGGAAGUGGGCUUGGCUAAGACACUAUACCCUCUAGGGGACUACUAUGUUUCGCUUCGACCUGAAACCUUAGCGGGUUACCACAUUGCUAGCGAAUCUUUGUAAAGGCCUCGUAGCGUCCCUAUGCAAUCACACCUCGGAAGUGUGGUAUUGUGCCUGAUCAGCACAAGCGUGGUUGGGUCUAAAGUUCUUUUGAGCUUUUACGCGACUUGUGGGUAAAGAUGUGCGACCUCUGCAGAGUGUAAAACUGAUCGAUCAGCCGUGCUCACGGUUAAGAGCGGCCUGGACCCUCACAUGAGUAAUAUACUUGAAGAUGGAUUUAAAUUGUGGUUUAUGCUAUGGUUAUGGUUGUGCCAUAUGCUUAUGGCUUAUAUUUAUGUUUAUAUUAAUUGUGGGUUGGUAUAUACUUAUACCUUAGUAAUCAGGUGCUAAUAAAAUUUGACCAACUAAAAAUGCUUAAUGCAGUCAACCAGUCAGCCUUUCCUUGUUUAACCCUUGCAUUCAUAUUCUCCUCACACUUGCUGAGUACGACAAGUGCUCACCCUUGCUAUAAACAACGUUGCUCAGAAGAAGAAGCUGCUAUGAAGUUGAGAAGAUGCUGAGUUCUAGGCGUACGCAACCCCCAGUCGAUUGCCUGUGAAGUUUGGAGCCUCCGUUUCCAGUGUUUAAGCUGUGUAUCUCUGAUGGUUUGUAAGUCUUUAUUUGUAUCUUUUCACGUGAUACUGUUGCUGUUAUUCACUAUAUGUAUGAAAUUUGAUCCUGGCAUACAUAUAGGUAGCAUUCGGUUUUGCCUUUAAAACCGGGUGUGACAACAGCACCGCCAGGUUCUGAAGCAUCAGGAAGAAUGGAGGAGUUCUGAUGGCACAGGACAUCCGAAACAUGAACACCGAGAAAAUUGACUGUGAAAGAGUUAAUUCUGUAUCCUAGGCAUAGCUGAUGUCUUCCCAUCACUAUUCUUUCCCCAUUUGCAGUGAUCUGGUUCAGUCCUGUCGCUGAAGUAAUGGAUUAUGUACAUGUGGGUGAAAUAGUGGAUUAUGUACCUGAAGACUCGGUAAAUCAUGUUUCCGUCAUGGCACAAAUGUGUUGGAGACGUUAAAUUUGCAGACCACCUUCUAAUUAACAUUUUUCUUCUGAGGCUGUAAAUUUGCUGGAAUCAUGCGAUCUGCCGUUUCUUGAUAGAGAGAGGGAUUGCAUUCGGUUAACUUGUGGGGUCCAGCUGGCCAUCCCUUCCCCCGCUGAUUCCCAGACCCCACCUGGCAGGCCCGCUCGUCAAAUGUUGAGCCGCACCAGGCCAACUGGCCAAGCACAUCGCCGCCGCUCCGUCCCCAAAAUCUCCACGUUUCCGCUUCGCUCCUCCGCCGACCAACCC
rnacentral:lncRNA from 1 species